rnacentral:tRNA from 1 species
CUUCAAUUCUGCCGGGGCUU